GAUGAAGAACGUAGCGAAAUGCGAUAAGUAAUGUGAAUUGCAGAAUUCAGUGAAUCAUCGAAUCUUUGAACGCACAUUGCGCCCGCCAGUAUUCUGGCGGGCAUGCCUGUUCGAGCGUCAUUACAACCCUCAGGCCCCCGGGCCUGGCGUUGGGGAUCGGCGGAAGCCCCCUGCGGGCACAACGCCGUCCCCCAAAUACAGUGGCGGUCCCGCCGCAGCUUCCAUUGCGUAGUAGCUAACACCUCGCAACUGGAGAGCGGCGCGGCCACGCCGUAAAACACCCAACUUCUGAAUGUUGACCUCGAAUCAGGUAGGAAUACCGGCUGAACUUAAGCAUAUCAAUAAGCGGAGGA
rnacentral:misc_RNA from 1 species